rnacentral:rRNA from 1 species
GAGUUUGAUCAUGGCUCAGAUUGAACGCUGGCGGCAUGCUUUACACAUGCAAGUCGGACGGCAGCACAGAGAAGCUUGCUUCUCGGGUGGCGAGUGGCGAACGGGUGAGUAACAUAUCGGAACGUACCGAGUAGUGGGGGAUAACUGAUCGAAAGAUCAGCUAAUACCGCAUACGUCUUGAGAGAGAAAGCAGGGGACCUUUGGGCCUUGCGCUAUUCGAGCGGCCGAUAUCUGAUUAGCUGGUUGGUGGGGUAAAGGCCUACCAAGGCGACGAUCAGUAGCGGGUCUGAGAGGAUGAUCCGCCACACUGGGACUGAGACACGGCCCAGACUCCUACGGGAGGCAGCAGUGGGGAAUUUUGGACAAUGGGCGCAAGCCUGAUCCAGCCAUGCCGCGUGUCUGAAGAAGGCCUUCGGGUUGUAAAGGACUUUUGUCAGGGAAGAAAAGGCUGUUGCUAAUAUCAGCGGCUGAUGACGGUACCUGAAGAAUAAGCACCGGCUAACUACGUGCCAGCAGCCGCGGUAAUACGUAGGGUGCGAGCGUUAAUCGGAAUUACUGGGCGUAAAGCGGGCGCAGACGGUUACUUAAGCAGGAUGUGAAAUCCCCGGGCUCAACCCGGGAACUGCGUUCUGAACUGGGUGACUCGAGUGUGUCAGAGGGAGGUAGAAUUCCACGUGUAGCAGUGAAAUGCGUAGAGAUGUGGAGGAAUACCGAUGGCGAAGGCAGCCUCCUGGGACAACACUGACGUUCAUGCCCGAAAGCGUGGGUAGCAAACAGGAUUAGAUACCCUGGUAGUCCACGCCCUAAACGAUGUCAAUUAGCUGUUGGGCAACUUGAUUGCUUGGUAGCGUAGCUAACGCGUGAAAUUGACCGCCUGGGGAGUACGGUCGCAAGAUUAAAACUCAAAGGAAUUGACGGGGACCCGCACAAGCGGUGGAUGAUGUGGAUUAAUUCGAUGCAACGCGAAGAACCUUACCUGGUCUUGACAUGUAUGGAAUCCUCCAGAGACGGAGGGGUGCCUUCGGGAGCCGUAACACAGGUGCUGCAUGGCUGUCGUCAGCUCGUGUCGUGAGAUGUUGGGUUAAGUCCCGCAACGAGCGCAACCCUUGUCAUUAGUUGCCAUCAUUCAGUUGGGCACUCUAAUGAGACUGCCGGUGACAAGCCGGAGGAAGGUGGGGAUGACGUCAAGUCCUCAUGGCCCUUAUGACCAGGGCUUCACACGUCAUACAAUGGUCGGUACAGAGGGUAGCCAAGCCGCGAGGCGGAGCCAAUCUCACAAAACCGAUCGUAGUCCGGAUUGCACUCUGCAACUCGAGUGCAUGAAGUCGGAAUCGCUAGUAAUCGCAGGUCAGCAUACUGCGGUGAAUACGUUCCCGGGUCUUGUACACACCGCCCGUCACACCAUGGGAGUGGGGGAUACCAGAAGUAGGUAGGAUAACCGCAAGGGGUCCGCUUACCACGGUAUGCUUCAUGACUGGGGUGAAGUCGUAACAAGGUA